GCCUGGAAGCUAUCGAAACUCUUCCGUCUUUUGCUGUUUCCUUAUUGAUAAAAAGGAUCAUGCUUUGAUUUGAUUCUCUAACUUGCUGACUUAUUCUUUGAUGGCUCAUGGACCUUUUGCUUUGGAUCUUGUUCCAUUCCCAAAGAACAUCAUCCUUUUUGCCUCUUUCAUCCUCUUUGGUUCUUCCUUGAAGUCUGUUGAGUCACGGUUUGAUUGAUCCAACCUCAACAUCGUUGUGUUGACUUUUUUGCCAAGGGAAGGAGAAAAACAUUGUUGUACGACUCCGAUUAUCGAGGCUAGGAUGCAAAAAUUGACCAUUUUUCCGGGUAAUGGCAGCUUAUAGCAGAUCUCCCAGAGACGGGAAGCACAUCGAGGUUUUGUGUUACUUCAAUCAUCUCCCAGGACAGGACGGUGGUAAGAGAAUGGGUCUCAAGUUUGACCAUAUCAAGUUCCCUUCUCUUUCUUUCCUCUAACGU